rnacentral:rRNA from 1 species
AGUGAACGCUGGCGGUAGGCCUAACACAUGCAAGUCGAACGGCAGCACAGUAAGAGCUUGCUCUUACGGGUGGCGAGUGGCGGACGGGUGAGGAAUACAUCGGAAUCUACUUUUUCGUGGGGGAUAACGUAGGGAAACUUACGCUAAUACCGCAUACGACCUACGGGUGAAAGCAUGGGAUCUUCGGACCUUGCGCGAUUGAAUGAGCCGAUGUCGGAUUAGCUAGUUGGCGGGGUAAAGGCCCACCAAGGCGACGAUCCGUAGCUGGUAUGAGAGGGUGGUCAGCAACACUGGCACUGAGACACGGACCAGACUCCGACGGGAGGCAGCAGUGGGGAUUAUUGGACAAGGGGAGCAGACCUGAUCCAGCACUACCGAGUGGGUGAAGAAGGCCUUCGGGUUGUAGAGCCCUUUUGUUGGGAGAGAAAAGCAGCAGGUUAAUACCCCGCUGUUCUGACGGUACCCAAAGAAUAAGCACCGGCUAACUUCGUG